AUACGGAGGGGGCUAGCGUUGUUCGGAAUUACUGGGCGUAAAGCGCGCGUAGGCGGAUUGGUUAGUUGGGGGUGAAAUCCCAGGGCUCAACCCUGGAACUGCCCUCAAUACUGCCAGUCUAGAGAUCGAGAGAGGUGAGUGGAAUUCCUAGUGUGGAGGUGAAAUUCGUAGAUAUUAGGAAGAACACCAGUGGCGAAGGCGGCUCACUGGCUCGAUACUGACGCUGAGGCGCGAAAGCGUGGGGAGCAAACAGGAUUAGAAACCCUAGUAGUCC
rnacentral:rRNA from 1 species